UUUGUAUUGAAUUUUAGUUCUUUUCCUGAUAAAGGUGUGCAAAUAGAAUAUUUCUAAUUUUAAUCAGAUGGGGUCACAGGCAGAAAAUGGGACACUUUCUGGAGAGAUGGAAAAGAUUAAAAACUCUCAAAGAUUGUUUGAAUUAGUAAAAUUUGCAAUAUAGAUAAGGCAUUAGUUCCUAUCUGUUGAUAUCUUUGUCAGCUUAAUUAUUUUUCUGUGGCAUUCUUUCUAGUUGUGGGGUUUUUCCUAUAAAUCACACAAAGACGCA
rnacentral:misc_RNA from 1 species